ACGGAGGAUCCGAGCGUUAUCCGGAUUUAUUGGGUUUAAAGGGUGCGUAGGCUGGUUUUUAAGUCAGCUGUGAAAUACCGACGCUUACCGUCGGCACUGCAGUUGAAACUGGGAACCUUGAGAGUGCAAGAGGCAUGCGGAAUUCAUGGUGCGGCGGUUGGAGGGACAGAUAUCAGGAGGAACACCGAAUGCGAAAGUACAAAGCUGGGACAUAUCUAACACUAGGUAACGAGAGUGCUGGUAUCAAAAAG
rnacentral:rRNA from 1 species